GAGUGAGUGAGUGAGUGCGUGCGUGUGUGUGUGUUUGUGUGUGUAAAGAACAACAGUGGCAUUAAGUAAACAAACUGGCAUUUAAAGGGUUAAAAUCCUGAAAAUGAAUGAAUAUUUGGUAGUUAUGAUCAGGACUGAUGUUGAUUAAGUGGAAAAUAAUAUUAAUAUAUAAUAUUAUUAUGGCAGUUUUUUGAUGUGGACUUUUUUGUCCUCUAAGGACCUCUGAGUAACGUUUUUAAAUUGACUCACAAUAUACUCAUUUUUCUUUUUGCUGUUCUCUCUAGUAUCAUUUGCAGAGAAGAAAUUGAUGCGAGUUGAAGUUAUUUUCAUUCUAGUCUCUCUGCAAAUCCGCUGAAAUGAAUCUGGUUACCAUGGUGAUGAUGUCAUGCACUCUUUGUCAUCCUGUCAGCACAAGUAGAAAUGCACCAAUAAAAAUGAGUUUAAUAACGAGCUGAAAGAAACUGAUUCAUUCAGUUUUUUAGGUCAUGUAACUUUCUCAAACUGAAAUGUUAUGCGCCUAAACUCACCAACUAAGUGUAACAAAGUACUGAACCAUUUGAUGAUCUUAAUACUACAUGAAACUCACCUUUUACCUGCAGACCACAACAGAAUGAGGAAAAAUAGGGUAGGACAGCUAUAUCAUUUCAAUUCAGCAUACUGUAUAAAUCUAGAGGUACAGAGAUUCUACUUCAUAAAGCUCUUCCAUUUCAAGUAUAAAAACAUUCAUUAUUUUUAAUAAAAGUGUUCAAUUCCCCUAAAAUACAUUUACUCACAUAAAAUGUACAUUUUCAUUCUUAACUCAUUAUAUGUGUUACAGAAUAAAACAUUUACAUUACAUUUAUCAGACGCUUUUAUCCAAAGUGACUUACAGUGCACUUAUUACAGGGACAAUCCCCCUGGAGCAACCUGGAGUUAAGAGCUCAAGGACACAAUGGUGAUGUCUGUGGGGAUCAAACCAGCAACCUUCUGCUUACCAGUUCAGUGCUUUAGUCCACUACACCACCUCCACUCAAAUUUAAAACAGGCAUUCCCCUUUAAAUGAAGGUCAUGUGUGUAUUUGACCUCUGAGGGGUGACUGAGAGUCUGAUGAAUGUCAGGAAUAAUGCAGAAACAGUGUUUACUCAUUUAUCCCGACUCCCAGAGAAUGAAUAUGCAUACUCUGAAUGUCAGGUUGCCCAAGUAAUGUGGCACAUUAAUGAAAGCUCCAGAAGUCAUCUGUGGAUCCGGCUGUGAGCUCUGGACUCUGGAAGAACAUUCAGGAGUCAGUACUGCAGUGACUUUGACUUCACAACCAUAGAGAGGAG